rnacentral:rRNA from 1 species
UACGAAGGGGGCUAGCGUUGUUCGGAAUUACUGGGCGUAAAGCGCACGUAGGCGGAUCGAUCAGUCAGGGGUGAAAUCCCAGGGCUCAACCCUGGAACUGCCUUUGAUACUGUCGAUCUGGAGUAUGGAAGAGGUGAGUGGAAUUCCGAGUGUAGAGGUGAAAUUCGUAGAUAUUCGGAGGAACACCAGUGGCGAAGGCGGCUCACUGGUCCAUUACUGACGCUGAGGAGCGAAAGCGUGGGGAGCAAACAGG